GUCCGAGACACGUUUUGCCUUAUCUCCAAAAGGCUUUCUCAAGCUUUCUCAAAAGCCUUUUGGAGAUAAGGCAAAACGCAUCUCGGAC